UUAUUGUAACCCUUCUUAUCCUUCCUCCUCCUUACCCUUCAAAUACUUACCCUUUCCUCACCCCAUCUAAACAGGCCCUCAAUGAUUUCUCAUGUUGAAUUCCUUUUGAGGGAUCAGGAUGACUAUGAUAUAUUUUUAACAUGCAAUGUGGUUAACUCUUUGGGAUUUUAAUUUCUACUGUCAGUACAUUCAGCUUCUUUAUUGGA
rnacentral:misc_RNA from 1 species